UAUUUCCUGGUGCUCCUACUCCAGACCUCUGUCUGCAUGGCUUGUUUAAGCUGGACCUUUCAGUUGGCCCUUUUGGUAGAAUUAGGGGCCCAGAGUAGAUCCUUCUGUUGAGCUUCCUAAGGACAGAAAUCUCUGAAGCUCCCCAGUGAGGACUGUGAUUCAGUUGGUGGGAAGUUUAGCUAAGCCUGAGCCUGGGCAAAGUGAAGAUGGUUCAGAUCAGGGGUCCCCUUACUCAACCUGGGCCAGUGCUGGCCAGUAAGGACCUGAAGCUGUCUUGACCCCAUAUUUUAGAACGAAAAAUUUAACAAUAGCGUAUUGUUCCAACACUGGUGUGAGCCAGGUGGGCAGUUGGGGGCUUGGUUGGUGCUGCUGCUCUUCCUAUCUCCAGGAACUACACAGCACAGCUAGGAUCCCCACUAGAGCCACCCUAGAGACCUGAUUUCUAUCGAGGUGACAGACCCGGUGGUCCCAAAUACCACACAUCCCACCCUCCUAGGUGUGGGACUUUGAGUGUUGCCUAUGUUGGGGGUGAUGAAUUGCCAAAGCAGUGUGAAGGAUCGGAGGCCCAGCUUAAGGCCUGCGUCCUUCCCGUCCUUCCCGUUGAGACAUGCAGAGGUGCAGGUGAGGGGUGGCUAGGCUGGCUGGCUCUUGUCCUCUUUCUGUCCUCCCCAGGGAAGUGAGAGCCCAGGGGCUUUUUCUCUGGGAUGGAUGAGGGCUGCAAAGGCAGCAAGAACCUGUAGGCGGGAAUUGAUUGUCUUGCCCGCUUUAGGCGAAUGGUGGAGCCCGCUUGGUGGAGGGGUGGAAUGCAGGGCUGUCGGCCAGUGCCCUGAGGCUCUGCACUGUGAAUGGUGUUAGAGGGACCAGAGGCCUGGUGUGUGUGUGUGUGUGUGUGUGUGUGUGUGUGUGUGUGUGUGUGUGUAGGUCUUGCCAAAGCCAGUUUGUAGACAGGUGUUGGAUAGGUCUGUGGGUUGGGGGAAGGCAGCAAUGCCCCAGGGUCUCAAACCAUCCACUGACUUGGUGCCUGCUUCUCUAGCAGUCUGGAGGCCUGGGAAGAACAGGUGCAGGUUAGACCUCCUAGCCCCUCCUAGUCCUGCAGUUUCCACACUCCCAGCCCCCUACCUGGGCAGUGCUAGGGGCAGAGAACCAAGAGGCUAGGUUAAGGGUAGAGUGAGCGCCCUCCCCAGAGGGCGGCACUGCCUCAGCUGCGACUGCUUACAGGGUUUCUGUGGGGUGUGAUUAGUCUUCUGUUUUAUUCAAUUAGGAGGCAAUUAGGGGUCCUUGAGGGGAGGGGGCCUGGUACUGGUAAUUAAGGUUAUGUAUAAUUAAGAGUUUCAACAAAAUUAUCCAGGAUUUAAAAAAAAAUCUUUUCAGUAAUUUCGCUUAAAAAUUUCAAAUAGCAUUAAAUACAACUUAACAGGGUUUGAAUCAAAACCCAGUUUUAAGCCUUAGGAUCGGAAGCUCUCUCCUGAGAAGGUGUGGGGGACACUGGUAGCACCUUCCUAGAUCAGGAAAGAACUUCGUGAGAUGGAGGGAAUCUCUCCCUUUCUCUCUCCCUUCCUCUCUCUCUCUCUCUCUCUCUCACCCCACUCUGUCUGUCUCUGUGUCAAUGUCUGUGUUUGUCUGUGUCUCUCUCUGUCUUUCUCUGUCUCUCUCUGUGUCUGUCUCUGUUUUUCUCUGUUCCUCUGUGUGUGUGUUUCUCUCUCUUUCUCUGUGUCUGUCUCUGUUUUUCUCUGUUCCUCUGUGUGUGUGUUUCUCUCUCUUUCUCUCUCUCUCUCUCUCUCUCUCUCUCUCUCUCUCUCUCUCUCUCUGCUUUGCUGAAGGCAGCCUGGGCAGACACCUGCCUAGGCGACCCCCAGCUUCUCCCAGCUCCUUUCCCAAAGUCAGAGACAACAAUGGGGCAGCAGUAGUUAGGACAUGUCCAUACUGCAUCAGCUUGUGACUCUGACCCGGUGACCCGGUGACCCGGACGGACGCUACUGCAAUGAAGGUGCCUUUCUACUUGGGGGCCACCUUCUAGCUUCCUGGGUGUUCCUGCCCGAAUUUUCAGACCCCUCCACCUGGUCCAGAAAUCCCCAGUGCAAGGUAUUGUCCCUUUACUUGUCCCCAACUUGGGAUUUCCAGAGUACACACAGGUGUGCCUGCCCAUCCUGGGAAGGGAAGGCGAUCCCAGAAACCAAGGAGGAGGGUAUCCUGCAUUGCGAGUCGCUCUGCCCCUGUUCUGUAUGGCAGCAGCCUUGGAAGAGACCCUCAAAGUGCCUUUGGGUGUUCUUUAGCCCUCCUGGGUAGGUGUGAACUGGCCGCUGGUCAGCAUCCAGCAGCAUCCGGCAGCAUCCCCUCCACUGGCCCAGGGAAGGGAAGGAAGGAGUGUGGAACCUUAGACCCCCCUCCUCCAGCUGUUAGGUUAGAGAGCCUAGACAGGUGCAGUAACUCAUUCCGUUGCAAUCCAGUUCAAGACCUUCAGGGUUUCUUGGUCUGGUACUGCAGACUAUAGUUAAUUCUGUAGUGUUUUAGUUAGUUAAUUAAUUAAUCAAUUAAUUAAUUUAAUGUGUCAGGGUUAAAGUAUUUCAAGACCAGUGCUUACCAUGGUCUAUUCGUAAAGGACAGGUAGAUUCCACGCAUUAUAACCUGUGAAUUAAGCCGUCUGGCUUAUCCCCCACUUGUCUGCAGAUUGGAAUUCUAUUUGCUCAGGGCUGGACUCUUUCCCCCUCCAGGAAGUGAUAACACAGCUUCUCCUCCUCUCGCUGUGGGUACCCUCUCCAAAGGCAGAUUCUAGGUAGCCAGUAUUGACCAGGAAUGGGCCUUGUCUACCCCCUCUCCUCUUCUGCCAAGCACAAGUACAAAAACCUCACACAGAGAAGUGGGGGCUGCCUACUUACCCUAUCCCCAAACUAUCAGGGAAAAAAAUCCACCUGUCUUUCUCAGGAAACUAGGGAGAUGCAGUGCCCAUACUGCUCCUGCUCCCCAGUAGAUCCAAGCUGCAGGUCUAUGCAGCAUCUCUGAUAUUGGCCGUUGUUCCUCAUGGCCAGAGCCACUGUGACCAUCCUGCACCCAGAGUGCCCUCCACCCAAGUGGCCCUGAAGCAAGGAAUGGGUGGUCUCUCCCUGUUCUGACCACUCCCUGUUCUCAGAUCCUGUACUCUCUAGAGGUGCCUCUCACGAGAAAGAGGAACAAUGAAUGCCAUGAGCAAGCUGAAGAUAGGAGUGCUGGCCACUUGAGAUACAUAUUUGUUUAAUAGUUAACAUUUUGUGUAAAAAAAAAGGGGGGGGAAGGGAAGGCAGAUUCUGGUGAAGUGAAAGCUUUGCUUAUUUUAUAUCCACUAUAACUAUUUCUGUCCGUGAAAAUUGGCUUAAUUAUAUCAAUGGAAUGUUUCUUUUUAAAUUCUGUAUGCAAUUAGUCCAUCUUGCCGGCUGCAAUUUAUUUUAAUAAAAAAAUAAACCAGUGGUGUGUUCAGUUCCUCGUCCCCUGGGGACAAAUGC
rnacentral:lncRNA from 1 species